ensembl:snoRNA
AAUGCAUACAAUGAUGAUGACAUAGUUCAGCAGACAAAUGUCUUUUGCUCCUUUCUAAUAUACCUG